GAGCAUGAAAUGAACCUGGAAUCUACCAAAUCCUCAAUAAUUUAUUGAGAUAAUAAAUUUUAAAAUGAUGCAUGCAGGACUUGGAACCAAAGUUACCGAUAAUAAUUUCUAGCAGCAUUACCCAAACCCAUUCACGGGAAUCCCUUUCUGUUCCCCUAUAAACAAGCCUUUUAAUACGAAUACACCUCACGUAGAUUAUAUAUCUUGCAUUAGAUACUAUGCAUUGAGCUGAUCUUUGGUCUUGCAAGAACAUAAAUGAUUGGACCUCAUAACUAAACCCAAAUGGUUCUUGCUAUAUAUAUGCUCACCAGAUAUCAGGCCUCACAAGAUUUGUCAGAGCCCAGCCAAAGAAGAAAUGGGAUUGCUUUCUUUUGGCUCUGUUCUUUAUGAGGUUGGAAUUUUGGUCUAAAAUAUCCUCUGCUUCAUGGAUGCUGAGAUGAGGACCUAUCCUGCAAGGUGUAAUUUAUGUCAGGGAAGAGCACUGCUCCUCUCUUCUCCUUAUCUUCUUUUAUUAAAUGAAGAAAAACCGUUCAUGAGACCAACCAAAAUAAAGCCUACAAACAU
rnacentral:lncRNA from 1 species